rnacentral:rRNA from 1 species
AACGAACGCUGGCGGCGCGCCUAAUACAUGCAAGUCGAACGAGAAUGUGUAGCAAUACACAUGUAAAGUGGCGAACGGGUGAGGAAUACAUAGGUAACCUACCCUCGAGUGGGGAAUAACUAGCCGAAAGGUUAGCUAAUACCGCGUACGCUCCCCGGACUACGGUUCGGGGAGGAAAGCGAUACCGUGGGUAUCGCGCUCUUGGAUGGGCUUAUGUCCUAUCAGCUUGUUGGUGAGGUAAUGGCUCACCAAGGCUUCGACGGGUAGCUGGUCUGAGAGGACGAUCAGCCACACUGGCACUGCGACACGGGCCAGACUCCUACGGGAGGCAGCAGUAAGGAAUAUUGCGCAAUGGGCGACAGCCUGACGCAGCGACGCCGCGUGGGGGACGAAGGUCUUCGGAUUGUAAACCCCUUUCGGGAGGGAAGAUGGGAUGGGUAACCAUUCGGACGGUACCUCCAGAAGAAGCCACGGCUAACUUCGUGCCAGCAGCCGCGGUAAUACGAAGGUGGCAAGCGUUGUUCGGAUUUACUGGGCGUACAGGGAGCGUAGGCGGUUCAGUAAGCCCUUUGUGAAAUCUCCAGGCUUAACCUGGAACAGCCGGAGGGGACUGCUGAGCUAGAGGAUGGGAGAGGAGCGCGGAAUUCCCGGUGUAGCGGUGAAAUGCGUAGAG